rnacentral:rRNA from 1 species
GUGUCAGCCGCCGCGGUAAGACGGAGGAGGCAAGCGUUAUCCGGAAUUAUUGGGCGUAAAGGGUCCGCAGGUGGCAGUUCAAGUCUGCAGUCAAAGGUCGGGGCUCAACCCCGGAAAGGCUGUGGAAGCUGAACAGCUAGAGUACGGUAGGGGCAGAGGGAAUUCCUGGUGUAGCGGUGAAAUGCGUAGAGAUCAGGAAGAACACCGGUGGCGAAAGCGCUCUGCUAGGCCGCAACUGACACUCAGGGACGAAAGCUAGGGGAGCGAAUGGGAUUAGAUACCCCUGUAGUCCUAGCUGUAAACGAUGGAGACUAGGUGUGGCCUGUAUCGACCCGGGCCGUGCCGGAGCUAACGCGUUAAGUCUCCCGCCUGGGGAGUACGCACGCAAGUGUGAAACUUAAAUGAAUUGGCGGGG